rnacentral:lncRNA from 10 species
UAGCGGGGCAUGGUGGGGCAUGCCUGUAAUCCCAGCUACUCGGGAGGUUGAGGCAGGAGAAUCGCUUGAACCCAGGAGGCAGAGGGUUGGGGGGGUGCAGAAGUGACACUAUAUGCCUGUGUGACUUCCAAGGCUAAGUCAUAAAAGCAGACACGGCUUUUUCUUGUCCUUUCCCUUCCCUUCCCUUCUCUCUCUCAGCCUCCCUCUCCCUACCCCUUCCCCACCACUGGCCUCUGGGACCUAGCUGCCAUGAUAUGAGGAAGCCCAAGCAGCCACAGGGAAAGGUCACAAGUAGAAGUUCCAGCCACAGGGCCC